UACGGGGGGUGCGAGCGUUGUCCGGAAUCACUGGGCGUAAAGGGCGCGUAGGUGGCGUCGUAAGUCUGUGGUGAAAGCCCGGAGCUCAACUCCGGGUCUGCCGCGGAUACUGCGAGGCUUGAGUAUGGGAGAGGUGAGUGGAAUUCCUGGUGUAGCGGUGAAAUGCGUAGAUAUCAGGAGGAACACCUGUGGCGAAAGCGGCUCACUGGACCAUAACUGACGCUGAUGCACGAAAGCUAGGGGAGCAAACAGG
rnacentral:rRNA from 1 species